AGAAUCAACGCUGGCGGCGUGCCUAACACAUGCAAGUCGCACGAGAAAGGGUAGCAAUACCUGAGUACAGUGGCGCACGGGUGAGUAACACGUGAAUAAUCUACCUCCGAGUGGGGAAUAACUGAGAGAAAUCUUAGCUAAUACCGCAUAACACUUACGAGUCAAAGCAGCAAUGCGCUUGGAGAGGAGUUCGCGGCAGAUUAGUUAGUUGGCGGGGUAAUGGCCCACCAAGACGAUGAUCUGUAUCCGGCCUGAGAGGGCGCACGGACACACUGGAACUGAAACACGGUCCAGACUCCUACGGGAGGCAGCAGUGGGGAAUUUUGCGCAAUGGGGGAAACCCUGACGCAGCAACGCCGCGUGGAGGAUGAAAUCCCUUGGGAUGUAAACUCCUUUCGAUCGGGAAGAUAAUGACGGUACGAGAGAAGAAGCCCGGCUAACUUCGUGCCAGCAGCCGC
rnacentral:rRNA from 1 species